GUAAAAUUGCUGUGUCUGAUUAUGGCAGGUAUUUUGUGUGAAAGUAAGUCUUACUAUGAUAUUUAUUUGAGAAUUGGUUAUAUAUUCCUCAACUUCAGUAAGGAUCAAUAAACAACUUAUGAAAAUAAGGUUCUGUUUGUUUUCGAUUGGUGGGUACAAGAAAAAUGCCAGCUUACGCGGUUACAUUUUCUCAUUAAAUGAAUGUUUGUUGGAUUUAUUAAAGCAUAGAUCAAAAAAGUUGUUGUAUAAAAGUUAAGGAAAAGUAAAAUUUGUAUUUAACUGUUUGUUUUCCUAAAAUGAGUUACAUGUUUUUUAUGUAACUGUGGUAAGAAAACCAGGAUUAGUGCCCUGUUAUUCACAGUGUAAAAGAGAAAUUCCUCUCUACUAUGCAUUAAAAUGUUAAAGAGAAGUAAAUUGGCGGUGUUUGAUUUAAAAAACAGGGGAACCGGGGUGUUAAAAGAUAGUCCACUUACAUUUGUCCCUUUUCUUAAGAGUGCAUGUGUAUGGUUGUUAAAUUAAUAGUGAAAACUAUUGGUUGUAAGACUUUCCUAUUUAUGUAGUUUAAAGUUAGAAUUCAGAUAGCAUUCAGCUAUGUUAAGGUUAGCCUGGGUUACAGUUAUUAUUUAAUAUUGUUAAUAGAAUUUAGCCUGAUAAUGCUAAUAAAUUGGUUUUUGAAGGAGGACUUGUAAGUAAAUUAGUUAAAUAAUAGCUAAUUGAAUCCUAUCAAAUGAGUACAAAUCGCCCGUCGCUCGCAAAGAGGAAAUUUGCGAAAAGUCGUAACAAGGUAGAAGUACCUGAAGGUGUUUCUAAAUCUA
rnacentral:ncRNA from 1 species